rnacentral:lncRNA from 1 species
CCGAUUCUUUUUUACCAUUAAACUAGCAAAUAUUUCAUACCGGCCGUUAAAAGUUAUCAAUUUUGUGAGCUUUUGAUCGUAAGGUAAAUGAUAUCGAAAAAUUAUAAAAUUUGAUUUCUAGAAGUUUUAAAUGCUCUAAAUAAUGUUUAACAGUAUGGAUCGUCGAUUCGGAAGCUCUAUCAUCGAAAAUAAUUUAUGAGUACGAGGGCGAUCGUACUCAUAAGAGUAUAGUAGCCGAAUUCUAUAUAUACAUAUAUAUUGAGACAGGUUUUGGCGGUAGGCC